rnacentral:rRNA from 1 species
CCUACGGGUGGCAGCAGUGAGGAAUAUUGGUCAAUGGACGCGAGUCUGAACCAGCCAAGUAGCGUGAAGGAUGACUGCCCUAUGGGUUGUAAACUUCUUUUAUAAAGGAAUAAAACGAGGCACGUGUGCCUUUUUGUAUGUACUUUAUGAAUAAGGAUCGGCUAACUCCGUGCCAGCAGCCGCGGUAAUACGGAGGAUCCGAGCGUUAUCCGGAUUUAUUGGGUUUAAAGGGAGCGUAGAUGGGUUGUUAAGUCAGUUGUGAAAGUUUGCGGCUCAACCGUAAAAUUGCAAUUGAUACUGGCAGUCUUGAGUACAGUUGAGGGAGGCGGAAUUCGUGGUGUAGCGGUGAAAUGCUUAGAUAUCACGAAGAACCCCGAUUGCGAAGGCAGCUUACUAAACUGUGACUGACAUUGAUGCUCGAAAGUGUGGGUAUCAAACAGGAUUAGAUACCCUAGUAGUC